rnacentral:rRNA from 1 species
UCGUGCGAGAAAGUAUCUUCGGAUAUGAGUAGAGCGGCGGACGGGUGAGUAACGCGUAGGAAUCUACCUAGUAGAAGGGGAUAGCCCGGGGAAACCCGGAUUAAUACCGUAUACCUCCUUCGGGAGAAAGAAGGCCUCUCUUUGAAGCUUUCGCUACUAGAUGAGCCUGCGUAAGAUUAGCUUGUUGGUGAGGUAAAGGCUCACCAAGGCUACGAUCUUUAGCUGGUCUGAGAGGACGAUCAGCCACAUUGGGACUGAGACACGGCCCAGACUCCUACGGGAGGCAGCAGUGGGGAAUAUUGGACAAUGGGCGCAAGCCUGAUCCAGCCAUACCGCGUGUGUGAAGAAGGCCUUCGGGUUGUAAAGCACUUUAAGCAGGGAGAAAAAGUUAUAAGCUAAUAUCUUAUGACCUUGAUGUUACCUGCAGAAUAAGCACCGGCUAAUUCCGUGCCAGCAGCCGCGGUAAUACGGAAGGUGCAAGCGUUAAUCGGAAUUACUGGGCGUAAAGCGCGCGUAGGUGGUUUGUUAAGUUGGAUGUGAAAGCCCUGGGCUCAACCUAGGAACUGCAUCCAAAACUAACUCACUAGAGUACGAUAGAGGGAGGUAGAAUUCAUAGUGUAGCGGUGGAAUGCGUAGAUAUUAUGAAGAAUACCAGUGGCGAAGGCGGCCUCCUGGAUCUGUACUGACACUGAGGUGCGAAAGCGUGGGUAGCGAACAGGAUUAGAU